GUAACACGGUAUGCAACCUGGGCUGUAAGACGGGGAAUAACCCCGGAGAAAUCCGGACUAAUACCGCAUAAUACUUAGAAUCCGCAUGGAUUUUAGUUAAACAUUUAUGGCUUACAGAUGGGCAUGCGUAUGAUUAGCUGGUUGGAGAGGUAACGGCUCCCCAAGGCAACGAUCAUUAGGGGUUCUGAGAGGAAGGUCCCCCACACUGGUACUGAGACACGGACCAGACUCCUACGGGAGGCAGCAGUGAGGAAUAUUGGUCAAUGGACGCAAGUCUGAACCAAGCCAAGUCGCGUGAAGGAAGAAUGUCCUAUGGAUUGUAAACUUCUUUUGAAGGGGAAUAAAGUACGGUACGUGUACCGUUUUGUAUGUACCCUUCGAAUAAGGAUCGGCUAACUCCGUGCCAGCCGCAGC
rnacentral:rRNA from 1 species